GGUUGUGUAGUGUAGUGGUAAGCACCUUGGACUUUGACACAUGUCAAUUUUCCUCCGGAAACCCCGGUCCGAACCCGGGCACGACCU